rnacentral:rRNA from 1 species
AUUGAACGCUGGCGGCAGGCUUAACACAUGCAAGUCGAGCGGGGUGAGGUGCUUCGGUACUGAUCCUAGCGGCGGACGGGUGAGUAAUGCUUAGGAAUCUGCCAUUUAGUGGGGGACAACAUUCCGAAAGGAAUGCUAAUACCGCAUACGUCCUACGGGAGAAAGCAGGGGAUCUUAGGACCUUGCGCUAAAUGAUGAGCCUAAGUCGGAUUAGCUAGUUGGUGGGGUAAAGGCCUACCAAGGCGACGAUCUGUAGCGGGUCUGAGAGGAUGAUCCGCCACACUGGGACUGAGACACGGCCCAGACUCCGACGGGAGGCAGCAGUGGGGAAUAUUGGACAAUGGGCGGAAGCCUGAUCCAGCCAUGCCGCGUGUGUGAAGAAGGCCUUUUGGUUGUAAAGCACUUUAAGCGAGGAGGAGGCUACCUAGAUUAUUACUCUGGGAUAGUGGACGUUACUCGCAGAAUAAGCACCGGCUAACUCUGUGCCAGCAGCCGCCGUAAAAC